CCCUUGAAUGAGUAGGUGUGUCCAAACUUUUGACUGGUACUGUAUAUAUUAUGAUCAUUCAAUCGUGCCACACGAGUUGUAGAACAAAUUAUCUUUCAGGGUUCGUACAGUCAUGAAAUUCCUCGAAAAGUAAUGGCAUUUUUAAAUGUAUUUUUCCAGGCCUGGAAAAGUUUUGCAAAAUGAUAGAAGUCAUGGAAAUUAAUUUAAUAAUUUCUGUUAAUUUAUUUCGGACGUUUUUAAAUAUUUUAUCAAUCAAAUACAAAUCUACAUAUCAGCCAGGAUCGGAAUUACACUUUAGCACAGGGAUUAUCAACUGUACUGAACAAAAAUAUAAAUGCAACAUGUAAGUGUUGGUUUCAUAAGUUGAAAUAAAAUAUCCCAGAAAUUGUUCACAUGCACAAAAAGCAGAUUUCUCUCAAAUGUUGUUGACAAAUUUGUUUACAUCCUUGUUAGUGAGCAUUUCUCCCUUUCCAAAAUAAUCCAUCCACCUGACACGUGUGGCAUAUCAAGAAGCUGAUUAAACAGCAUGAUCAUUACACAGGUAUGCCUUGUGCUGGGGACAAUAAAAGGCCACUCUAAAAUGUACAGUUCUGUCACACAACACUAUGCCAAAGAUGUCUCAAGUUUUGAGGGAACGUGCAAUUGGCACGACUGCAGGAAUUUCCACCAGGAUCUUGACCUGACUGCAGUUCUGCGUUAUCACCGACAUCCGUGUGCAAACGCUGCAUGAUGCAAAGGGUGGUCACCAAAUACUGAUUGGUUUGAUGAUCCACGCCCUACUUUUAAGGUAUCUGUGACCAACAGAUAUGUGAAAUCCAUAGAUGAGUCCCUAAUGAAUUCAUUUCAAUUGACUGAUUUCCUUAUAUGAACUGUUACUCAUUCAAUUUUUAGAAAUUGUAGCAUAUUGCUUUUGUAAUGUUGUUCAGUGUAGAUUCAUUCACAUAAAAACCUUUAUUGAGUGGAUGGUCACGGGUCCAGAACAUAAUUACAAAUCAUUUGUAGACUGCAAAUUGACCGCAAGCAUCCCAAACAGAUAUCAUAUUUGGCUAAAACCUCGUAAUUUCAAACUUGCAACUUGCUUACAAAAACAAAACUUGGGGGCCUAAUAAAACCACCGCCAGUUGCGGAACCCUGUAGUAGACCAAUAGACACGGCUCUGACCGAAGGCAAAAUAUAGGCUAACAGCAAUGGUGAGCGGAAGUUCCAGAACUUUAUUAAAUCUUCUCCCAGUAGACAUAAUGGAGAAUUUGGCCGUUUGGCAUUUUGGGCAAAUGCCAGAUGAGCUGGUCCAUUUUUAGCCCAAUAGGCCUGUUGAACUUGUUUUUGUUUGCAGAUGAAUAUAUUAGUUUGAUUCAAAUGUUUACAUGCUUUGCAAGAAGAACGAUUUCCAUAGUAAUCCUGUUUACAUGGACACAUCUGAAAUCAAGCUACCUGAUGGGACUAUGAUAAAUGCUGAAAAUCAUCUGCAAUCAAAAUAAAGAUUCUAUCACAGCGACUAUGUUCUUUUUGGGAAGGUUAUUUCAAUCUGAGUUUGGACAUAAAGUUUGAAUGUGAAAACAAUUUCUAAGACGCAUACUUUUUAAGUUUUUCAGAACCGACUUUACUCACGCAAAAGAGGUUAGCUGGUGCUAGCACAUGCGCAGAUCCAAUACACUGCUAGAACUCCGAUUUAAGGUGUUUACAUGUCCUAAUAAUUAGUAAGAUUGCUCAGAAUUCUAGGCUUGUGCUAACUUCGAUUAUGACCCAAUGCUGAAUCAAGAUAAUCAGAGUAAUGAUAAACUCUGCCUAUUGCUGCAAUCAGUAUAACAUUGAAUUAUUAGCCUGCAUGUUAUUAUUCUCAGUAUAUAGCUAAUAAUGGGGGCCUCAAGGAAAAGAAUGCGUAGGUGUGGUUUCUUGUUCCAUUCCGCCCCUGGACCCAUAUUUAGGUUACUGGUGUUGUUAUCUUUCCACUUGGUCUACAUCUCAGGCUCGUUUCAUUCUAAUUUUGCUUAUGCAUAGGCCUAAACUUUGUCCCCCCCCCACCAGAUUAGAAUGUUUACUUGAAGUUGUCAUACACGAGCCUACCAAUGAAGAAUCAAACAUAUUUCUCAUGCUGACUCAGACGGGAGUUGGUGAGUGUAGGAACGAUGCAAAGCAAACCCAUAACAUUUGUUCUCCACAAUAUCAAGAAGAGUCUGAGAAUUUGCUCUCUUAUGCAUCUUGCUAAUAUUCCUUUAAGUAUCAGAGUCAUCUUACAAUGGCCGCCCAACAGUGACUAGCUAUGGACUUGACCUGUGAGCUCUUAGAGACAGACGAGCUCAUCCAGAUCUCAUGGCAGAAGAGUACCAGGGGUUACCGUGCCAACUACAACUUCUUCCUCAUCACUCCUAGCUAUGGUCCAUCACAUGUCAAAGGGCGAGGGGACAGGGUGGGCUUCAUUGGGAACACCACAGCACUGGUGGGCUCUGUCCGACUGGGGGAUGUGUCCCUGACUGAUGAGGGCGUCUACACCUGCAUCUUCACUGUGUUCCCCAGUGGGCCGUACAAGGCAAAGCUCCACCUCAAUGUCAAAAUUCCUCCUGUGAUUUCAGUUGCUAUGGAGACUUCCCGUGGUUGCUGAGGGGCAGAAGAGCAUUUUGGCCACAUGCACAGCGGCUCCCGCCAAGCCCCCCGCUGACGUACAAUGGAGCACGGCCAGUGCAAGACAACCACUGAGUCUGACAACCUCAACCAACACUAUACUGAACCCAGACGACACCACCACGUGAGGGUCCACCUGAAGGGAGAGCCCUCCAGAGUCCUACACCAACAGGAGGUUCAGUGCCUGGUGAACCACACCACUCUGAGCCAGCAGGAAGCUGACCCCUACCAGCUAGAUGUACACUACAAAGAAUUCGGUCAAAAUCAUGAAUGAACGCGCACCCCAGGCACCGGCGUUUCAGUGUUUAGUAGACGCCAACCACCCUCCAACAGAGUUCACAUGGAAGAGACUGAAUAUAUCAAAUCUCAAUGAGACUGGGGGCUUGUUGGUGUUAGUGAAGGUUCGGCCCUGACUUCAGUGGUCUGUACAGCUGUGAGGUGUCCAACUCAUACGGAGCAGCAUCUGGUUUCCUAUAUGUGCAUAAAGUUGAUCAGCGCUCCAUUGUACCAGUAGCCUUGUGGGUUUUCCUCCCCUUCCUCCUCCUCUUCCUCUGCGUUGGAACUGUAUCUCUCUGGCUGUUGUUUUCCAGAGGACCCCUGAGAGAGAGGUAGCAUUGUGCAACUUCAGGACAAACAGUGUACACACACCUUUAUUGACAAGUAUCAUUAUGUUCUGCUGCUGUGUCUAAAAUUAUAUUUACAGUGCCUUUCAGAAAGUAUUCACACAUCUUGACUUGUUCCACAUUUUGUUGUUACAGCCUGAAUUCAAAAUGGAUUAAAUUUAGAUAAAAAAAAGUAUUUAAAAAAGCAGAAAUGUAAUAUCCCUUUGAGCUGGUUAUUAAUUACACUUUGGAUGGUGUGUCAAUACACCCAGUCGCUACAAAGGUACAGGCAUCCUUCCUAACUCAGUCGCCGUAGAGGAAGGACACCACUCCGGGAUUUCACAAUGAGGCCAAUGGUGACUUUAAAACAGUUGCAGAGUUAAAUGGCUGUGAUAGGAGAAAAUUGAGGAUGGAUAACAACAUUGUAGUUAAUCCACAAUAUUAACCUAAUUGACAGAGUGAAAAGAAGAAAUCAUGUACAUAAUAAUAAAAAAAUUCAAAAACAUGCCUCCUGUUUGCAACAAGGCACUAAAGUAGUACUGCAAAAAUGUGCAAUGGAAUUACAUUUUUGUCCUGAAUACAAAGUGUUAUGUUUGGGGCAAAUGCAAUACAACACAUUACUGAGUAUCACUCUCCAUAUUUUAAAGCAUAGUGGUAGCUGCAUCAUGUUAUGAGUAUGCUUGUAAUUGUUAAGGACUGGGGAGUUUUUCAGGAUAAAAAAGUAACAGAAUAGAGCUAAGCACAGACACAAUCCUGAAGGAAAACCUGGCUCAGUCUGCUUUCUACCAGACACUGGGAGAUUAAUUCACCUUUCAGCAGGACAAUAACCUAAAACACAAAUCUACACUGGAGUUGAUUAUCAACAAGACAGUGAUGUUCCCGAGUAGCCGAGUUAGUUUUGACUAAAAAUCUACUUGAAAAUCUAUGGCAAGACCUGAAAAUGGUUGUCUAGCAGUCAUCAAUAGCAGCCAAUUUGAAAGAUCUUGAACAUUUUUGAAAAUAAUUAGGGGCAAAUGAACCCAGAAAGACCCGGGGGUGUGAAUACUACAUAAAUUAGAUAUUUCUGUAUUUCAUUUUCAAUACAUUUGCAAAAACUUCAAAAAAUAUGUUUUCACCUUGUCGUAAUGGGGUAUUGUGUGUAGAUGGGUAAUAAAAUAUAUACAUUUAAUACAUUUUGAAUUCAGGCUGUAACACAAAAUAAUUUGGAAUAAGUCAAGGGGUAUGAAUACUUUCUGAAGGUACUACAUAUUCUUUGCAGAGUCAUGGCACUGUUUUUUUUGUAGUGGAGAGGCCAUUCAAAACCCAGUAGAGGUAAGCCGUAAAGAACUGCAGGAUUCUCCAGUGUGUGAGUCCGUUGAGGUUGAGAAACAGAAAGGUGCAGUUUGAUAAGGAUUGUGUUGAUUGGGUAACAUGAGGGGUUUCUCGAUGUUAGAAACAGGGCCAUGUUUUGUUUUUGUGCUCUUGCUUUUUUAAAUGUUUACAUGUUCUAGCUAGCAUCUAAACUGUCCACAGCGCACUACAAUACACAAGUGUGAAGAUGAUUUCUAUGGGAAUUGAUAUGUUUUUGUUGUGGUCUUUAUUGUUAAUGUAAAACAUUUCAGACACAGUUUUGUUAAGAGUUUGUAAUGGUAAAACUGUACCUUGACAUCUGCGAUUGUAUUAGACAUAAGAGGAUACAGCAUUAAUCAUUUGAAUGAUAACAAUUCCUCAAGAUAGUUUAUAUAUCACUGUAUUUGUGUAGGCCUAUUAUGUCAUACAGUACUGUGUUGGAAUGUAGCAAUUACUUUGGUAUAAAAUAGCUACAUGGUUUGACCAUUUGAGGGCACCAUUUCCUUAAUUUCU